UACGUAGGGGGCGAGCGUUGUCCGGAUUUAUUGGGCGUAAAGAGCUCGUGGGCGGUUCAGUAAGUCGGGUGUGAAAACUUUGGGCUUAACCCAAAGCGUGCAUCCGAUACUGCUGUGACUUGAGUUCGGUAGGGGAGUGGGGAAUUCCUAGUGUAGCGGUGAAAUGCGCAGAUAUUAGGAGGAACACCGGUGGCGAAGGCGCCACUCUGGGCCGAAACUGACGCUGAGGAGCGGAAGCAUGGGUAGCAAACAGG
rnacentral:rRNA from 1 species